UUUCAGUUCCUCGUAAUAGGCAAAGAUCGCCUACUUAGAAGAAACACAAAAAGGAAGUCGGUGUAAGGUAGGGAAUUUUAUGCUAUUCUAUGGUGUAUCUGAUUUCUUUCCUUGAAUUAUUUGUUGGAAUUUUAUGAUUUCAUAAAAUCUUUUAAAGUGUCAUUGCAUCUCGGUUUAUUGCAUUGAAAUGUUACCAUGAUGCUGGAACGUAUAUUGGUAUGAAGAUUCGUGGUUUUGUGUUGUCGAAAUGGUUUAUGGUGUGAUUGCGUUGCAAGAAGGAUAUGGAAUUAUCACAAAUCAUAUUCAGAGAAUUUAUUGGUGGCGAAGUGCUUAUGUGAUGCUACAGGCUUUAUCAUUUGAUAUAUUGUUUAUGUGGGACCGUGGGUCCUUGGGUGAAAGUCCCUAAAGCCCUCGAGGAAGACACUCCGAUGUGGGUGUAUGGGGUUGGUCCUGCCCCUGGGUUUUAGUCCCUAAAGACACGGGGUUGGUCCUGCCCUUGGGUAUGAGUCCCAAAAGACACGGGGUAUGACUUGCCCUUGGGUGAUGUCCCAGAAUAGUCAUUAUUAUAUUGAUCGAGUAUCUUGUGGAGCAUUGAUAUCUGCUGUGUAGAUUGUUGGGAGUCAGCAAAUUAUCAGUUGAAGAAAGGAUGGAUGGGGAAAAGCAAUGAUGAAACCAACAAAAACAUGCAUACAUGUUUGACAUGAUUACACAUUUGUUAAUGGUUAUGAAAUGUUUAUCAUGCAUGUUAUUAAAUGUUUAAUUCAAGGUUUUUAAGGGUAUACUUAGGAUGGUUAUAAACUUUCCUACUGAGUUGUGAACUCACCCUAUUCCUUCCACCUAUAGAUGCAGGUCAGAAGACCUAUGCAGGAAAGAAUGCUUGAGCAAUGCUUUACUGUGAUUGGAUGCUGUUUGCUCAUAUUGAAAGUCUUUUGAGGCCAUGCCUUUUGUAUCAAGACUACACCUUUUGUUGGAAUGAUGUAAUGUACAUAUUUGUUAGAUACACUUGUAGUAUGGGCUACCCAUAGUAAACAAUGGGGUUUGGUAUAUGUUAAUUAAUGUUGUACAAGUUUCUUUUGUGAAACAAAACAUAUUUUGUUAACUUAAUAGUCAC
rnacentral:lncRNA from 1 species